rnacentral:rRNA from 1 species
UACAGAGGUCCCGAGCGUUGUUCGGAUUCACUGGGCGUAAAGGGCGCGUAGGCGGUCACGCACGUCCGUUGUGAAAUCGCUCGGCUCAACUGGGCGGGGUCAGCGGAUACGGUGUGACUGGAGCAAGCUAGGGGGCAAUGGAAUUCCCGGUGUAGUGGUGGAAUGCGUAGAUAUCGGGAGGAACACCAGUGGCGAAGGCGGUUGCCUGGAGCUUUGCUGACGCUGAUGCGCGAAAGCGUGGGGAGCGAUCCGG